rnacentral:rRNA from 1 species
UACGAAGGGGGCUAGCGUUGCUCGGAAUUACUGGGCGUAAAGCGCACGUAGGCGGCUUGUUAAGUCAGGGGUGAAAUCCUGGAGCUCAACUCCAGAACUGCCUUUGAUACUGGCGAGCUUGAGUUCGGGAGAGGUGAGUGGAACUGCGAGUGUAGAGGUGAAAUUCGUAGAUAUUCGCAAGAACACCAGUGGCGAAGGCGGCUCACUGGCCCGAUACUGACGCUGAGGUGCGAAAGCGUGGGGAGCAA